UACACAUAGAAAUAUAGUUAUUUACAUGUCAGAAAAAAAAGGUAUUUAUUUAGAUUAGAUAGAUAAUGUCUUCGUUAAAUAUAGUUAAUGUUAAUGUGUUCAAGUGUCUUUUAAUAUUGUAUUAGAUGUAUCGGGCUUCAAAACUAGUGGACCGUGGUUAGAAAAACAUAGCGAGAGAGAGAGAGAGAGAGAGAGAGAGAGAGAGAAAGAGAUAGAGAGAGAGUGUGGUGGAAGCGAGUGAGAGAGAGAGAGAGAGAGAGAGUCAAAUAGGCAGGUAGGCAAGGCAGACGGACAGAGAUGCGAAGGUGCGUAGAGAUGCGAAGACUGAUAGAGAGAAAAAAUUGGAUUAAAAAAUAGCUCCAGAAACAUAACAAAUGCUAGGAAUAAGACAUGCGAAGGAAAUAGAGAGAGAACUGAGCAAGAAUGAGUGGAGUGAGUUUGGAGGGGAAGUAAAAAUUAAUCAGGACACUGGAUUGGAAACAAAAGAACAGGAUGAGAAGUAAAAUUGAGCACACGGAAGAUAAGAAGAAGAAGACGAACGACGACGGGAAGAAAAAUAUGUUUGAGACUCUACACAUAUCAUUGUUCGGAAAACUAUGACAAUAUCCAUGAUUCUAUAGACGGAGAGAGCGAGCGAGAGAGAGAGAGAUAGAGUCGGGGAGAGAGAGAGAGAAAGGGGGGGAGAGAGAGAUUUAACCAACAAACUAACUAACGGAGUUACUUCCACCACUUUUAGAUGGAAAACACUGGGAUGCCGGCAUUUUUACUGGAAAUAUAAAGUUUGUAAAAUUACUUGCUGCAACUGUGUAUUCUAAGAACGUUAGUGGCAGG
rnacentral:lncRNA from 1 species